UUUGAAUGGGGUUGCUUUCGGUUUCGUGUUGGUUACGGGGUUAUUUUCCUAAAUAAUAUAGCGAGGGAGGAAACAUGAAACUUGACGGGGAGAGAAAAUAAAACAACCAAAUAGAAAGCAGCAGCCCAACCUGCACAGCUUUAGGCAUCAACAGGCUGGACGGGCAUCAGAGUUCCCUUUUAACAGAAAUAGUUACUAGUUGUUCCAAGAAAAUUUCAAAGCACUCCCUAGCCAGGAAAACAUGAUUAGAAGACUUACCUUCCCGAAACUCCGUUCAAAAUCCAUCCAAGAAACAGUCCUCUUCCGGGUACUGAACAUACGGCACCAUUAGAUGAUCUAAUUUUUGUCUCACUCCAGAUGACUUCACAUUCCGCUUCCAACCUACAGUAUUUUAUCACCUCCGGCUCACCAUUUUAACAUCACUGUCAACUAUCAUUGUCAUUUCCUGUCCAUCACAUAUAAAAAUCCUCUGUAUCAUGAAAUGUCUCAUGGAAGUCUUUGUUACUCUGAAUAGACAACUAUCCUCAAGACCUACAGUAUACGGGACUGAGUCCUAAACCUUUUUGUGUUUCUCCGUUA